rnacentral:rRNA from 1 species
AUUGAACGCUGGCGGCAGGCCUAACACAUGCAAGUCGAGCGGAUGAGAGGAGCUUGCUCCUUGAUUCAGCGGCGGACGGGUGAGUAAUGCCUAGGAAUCUGCCUGGUAGUGGGGGACAACAGUUGGAAACGACUGCUAAUACCGCAUACGUCCUACGGGAGAAAGCAGGGGACCUUCGGGCCUUGCGCUAUCAGAUGAGCCUAGGUCGGAUUAGCUAGUUGGUGAGGUAAAGGCUCACCAAGGCGACGAUCCGUAACUGGUCUGAGAGGAUGAUCAGUCACACUGGAACUGAGACACGGUCCAGACUCCUACGGGAGGCAGCAGUGGGGAAUAUUGGACAAUGGGCGAAAGCCUGAUCCAGCCAUGCCGCGUGUGUGAAGAAGGUCUUCGGAUUGUAAAGCACUUUAAGUUGGGAGGAAGGGCAGUAAGUUAAUACCUUGCUGUUUUGACGUUACCGACAGAAUAAGCACCGACUAACUUCGUGCCAGCCGCCGCAGUAAGAC